GAACGCUGGCGGCAGGCCUAACACAUGCAAGUCGAGCGGUAGCACAGAGAGCUUGCUCUCGGGUGACGAGCGGCGGACGGGUGAGUAAUGUCUGGGAAACUGCCUGAUGGAGGGGGAUAACUACUGGAAACGGUAGCUAAUACCGCAUAAUGUCGCAAGACCAAAGUGGGGGACCUUCGGGCCUCAUGCCAUCAGAUGUGCCCAGAUGGGAUUAGCUAGUAGGUGGGGUAACGGCUCACCUAGGCGACGAUCCCUAGCUGGUCUGAGAGGAUGACCAGCCACACUGGAACUGAGACACGGUCCAGACUCCUACGGGAGGCAGCAGUGGGGAAUAUUGCACAAUGGGCGCAAGCCUGAUGCAGCCAUGCCGCGUGUGUGAAGAAGGCCUUCGGGUUGUAAAGCACUUUCAGCGGGGAGGAAGGCGGUAAGGUUAAUAACCUCAUCGAUUGACGUUACCCGCAGAAGAAGCACCGGCUAACUCCGUGCCAGCAGCCGCGGUAAUACGGAGGGUGCAAGCGUUAAUCGGAAUUACUGGGCGUAAAGCGCACGCAGGCGGUCUGUCAAGUCGGAUGUGAAAUCCCCGGGCUCAACCUGGGAACUGCAUUCGAAACUGGCAGGCUAGAGUCUUGUAGAGGGGGGUAGAAUUCCAGGUGUAGCGGUGAAAUGCGUAGAGAUCUGGAGGAAUACCGGUGGCGAAGGCGGCCCCCUGGACAAAGACUGACGCUCAGGUGCGAAAGCGUGGGGAGCAAACAGGAUUAGAUACCCUGGUAGUCCACGCCGUAAACGAUGUCGAUUUGGAGGUUGUGCCCUUGAGGCGUGGCUUCCGGAGCUAACGCGUUAAAUCGACCGCCUGGGGAGUACGGCCGCAAGGUUAAAACUCAAAUGAAUUGACGGGGGCCCGCACAAGCGGUGGAGCAUGUGGUUUAAUUCGAUGCAACGCGAAGAACCUUACCUGGUCUUGACAUCCACAGAACUUUCCAGAGAUGGAUUGGUGCCUUCGGGAACUGUGAGACAGGUGCUGCAUGGCUGUCGUCAGCUCGUGUUGUGAAAUGUUGGGUUAAGUCCCGCAACGAGCGCAACCCUUAUCCUUUGUUGCCAGCGGUCCGGCCGGGAACUCAAAGGAGACUGCCAGUGAUAAACUGGAGGAAGGUGGGGAUGACGUCAAGUCAUCAUGGCCCUUACGACCAGGGCUACACACGUGCUACAAUGGCAUAUACAAAGAGAAGCGACCUCGCGAGAGCAAGCGGACCUCAUAAAGUAUGUCGUAGUCCGGAUUGGAGUCUGCAACUCGACUCCAUGAAGUCGGAAUCGCUAGUAAUCGUAGAUCAGAAUGCUACGGUGAAUACGUUCCCGGGCCUUGUACACACCGCCCGUCACACCAUGGGAGUGGGUUGCAAAAGAAGUAGGUAGCUUAACCUUCGGGAGGGCGCUUACCACUUUGUGAUUCAUGACUGGGGUGAAGUCGUAACAAGGUAACCGUAGGGGAACCUGCGGCUGGAUCACC
rnacentral:rRNA from 1 species